CCUACGGGUGGCAGCAGUGGGGAAUUUUGGACAAUGGGCGCAAGCCUGAUCCAGCUAUUCCGCGUGUGGGAUGACGGCCCUCGGGUUGUAAACCACUUUAGUAGAGAACGAAAAGGAGCUAUCGAAUAAAUAGCUCUGCUGACGGUACUCUAAGAAUAAGCACCGGCUAACUCCGUGCCAGCAGCCGCGGUAAUACGUAGGGUGCGAGCGUUAAUCGGAAUUACUGGGCGUAAAGGGUGUGCAGGAGGCUGAUUAAGCCAGAUGUGAAAGCCCCGGGCUUAACCUGGGAACCGCAUAUGUGACUGGUUGGCUAGAGUGCGGCAGAGGGAGGUGGAAUUCGACGUGUAGCAGUGAAAUGCGUAGAUAUGUGGAAGAAAACCGAUGGCGAAGGCGGCAAUCUGGCUGGAAACUGACGCUGAGGUGCGAAAGCGUGGGUAGCAAACAGGAUUAGAUACCCGUGUAGUC
rnacentral:rRNA from 1 species